UUUUAUCAUUGUUGAGUUCCUACGUUCUCUUGGCUUACAAUUUUUAUCUUAUGUACUACCGUUUUAUAUCUAGCAUCAUGUGCAUAACCCGAGUCAUUCUUUCUGCAACAAGUCCUGAAGUGCACGUCGUGUACAAGAACACGAGUUGAGUCACUCUUAUUUUAGGAGGGGGAACCGUCGGUGUUUUGGAGUUGGUGGAAAGCUUUCGCAGCCACUAUCGACCAUACGCAUCCCCGAGCAGCCUUGUUAGUAAACCCCAGCGUAGGUUAGCCUUUAGGUCAUACUUAUGUGCAUCAUAUUGAGACCUAGUGGGGCCCAUUUGGUCCUUUGUAUGAGACUCACCUCUAAAGCAUCCCUAUGUGCUAAAUGUUACAUCUUUG
rnacentral:lncRNA from 1 species